rnacentral:rRNA from 1 species
UGGGGAAUAUUGCACAAUGGGCGCAAGCCUGAUGCAGCCAUGCCGCGUGUAUGAAGAAGGCCUUCGGGUUGUAAAGUACUUUCACCGGGGAGGAAGGCGAUGCGGUUAAUAACCGCGUCGAUUGACGUUACCCGCAGAAGAAGCACCGGCUAACUCCGUGCCAGCAGCCGCGGUAAUACGGAGGGUGCAAGCGUUAAUCGGAAUUACUGGGCGUAAAGCGCACGCAGGCGGUAUGUCAAGUCGGAUGUGAAAUCCCCGGGCUCAACCUGGGAACUGCAUCCGAAACUGGCAGGCUUGAGUCUCGUAGAGGGGGGUAGAAUUCCAGGUGUAGCGGUGAAAUGCGUAGAGAUCUGGAGGAAUACCGGUGGCGAAGGCGGCCCCCUGGACGAAGACUGACGCUCAGGUGCGAAAGCGUGGGGAGCAAACA